GCGCCUGUAGCUCAGUUGGAUAGAGCGUCGGACUUCGAAUCCGCAGGUCGCACGUUCGAAUCGUGUCAGGCGCA
rnacentral:tRNA from 1 species